rnacentral:rRNA from 1 species
UACGGAGGGAGCUAGCGUUGUUCGGAAUUACUGGGCGUAAAGCGCACGUAGGCGGCUUUUCAAGUCAGGGGUGAAAUCCCGGGGCUCAACCUCGGAACUGCCCUUGAAACUGGAAAACUAGAAUCCUGGAGAGGCGAGUGGAAUUCCGAGUGUAGAGGUGAAAUUCGUAGAUAUUCGGAAGAACACCAGUGGCGAAGGCGACUCGCUGGACAGGUAUUGACGCUGAGGUG